AGUAUAGCAACUAUACCGUGAAACUGCGAAUGGCUCAUUAAAUCAGUUAUCGUUUAUUUGAUAGUACCUUACUACUUGGAUAACCGUGGUAAUUCUAGAGCUAAUACAUGCUAAAAACCUCGACUUCGGAAGGGGUGUAUUUAUUAGAUAAAAAACCAAUGCCCUCCGGGGCUCUCUGGUGAUUCACAAUAACUUAACGAAUCGCAUGGCCUUGUGCCGGCGAUGGUUCAUUCAAAUUUCUGCCCUAUCAACUUUCGAUUGUAUGGUCUUGGCUUACAAUGGUUUCAACGGGUAACGGGGAAUUAGGGUUCUAUUCCGGAGAGGGAGCCUGAGAAACGGCUACCACAUCCAAGGAAGGCAGCAGGCGCGCAAAUUACCCAAUCCCGACACGGGGAGGUAGUGACAAUAAAUACUGAUACAGGGCUCUUUUGGGUCUUGUAAUUGGAAUGAGUACAAUUUAAAUCCCUUAACGAGGAACAAUUGGAGGGCAAGUCUGGUGCCAGCAGCCGCGGUAAUUCCAGCUCCAAUAGCGUAUAUUAAAGUUGUUGCAGUUAAAAAGCUCGUAGUUGAACCUUGGGCCUGGCUGGCCGGUCCGCCUCACCGCGUGCACUGGUCCGGCCGGGCCUUUCCUCCUGGGGAGCCGCAUGCCCUUCACUGGGUGUGUCGGGGAACCAGGACUUUUACUUUGAAAAAAUUAGAGUGUUCAAAGCAGGCCUAUGCUCGAAUACAUUAGCAUGGAAUAAUAGAAUAGGACGUGUGGUUCUAUUUUGUUGGUUUCUAGGACCGCCGUAAUGAUUAAUAGGGAUAGUCGGGGGCAUCAGUAUUCAAUUGUCAGAGGUGAAAUUCUUGGAUUUAUUGAAGACUAACUACUGCGAAAGCAUUUGCCAAGGAUGUUUUCAUUAAUCAGUGAACGAAAGUUAGGGGAUCGAAGACGAUCAGAUACCGUCGUAGUCUUAACCAUAAACUAUGCCGACUAGGGAUCGGGCGAUGUUAUCUUUUUGACUCGCUCGGCACCUUACGAGAAAUCAAAGUCUUUGGUCUGGG
rnacentral:rRNA from 1 species